UACGUAGGGUGCGAGCGUUAAUCGGAAUUACUGGGCGUAAAGCGUGCGCAGGCGGUUUUGUAAGACAGAUGUGAAAUCCCCGGGCUCAACCUGGGAACUGCAUUUGUGACUGCAUAGCUAGAGUACGGUAGAGGGGGAUGGAAUUCCGCGUGUAGCAGUGAAAUGCGUAGAUAUGCGGAGGAACACCGAUGGCGAAGGCAAUCCCCUGGGCCUGUACUGACGCUCAUGCACGAAAGCGUGGGGAGCAAACAGG
rnacentral:rRNA from 1 species